AUACGAAGGGGGCAAGCGUUGUUCGGAAUAACUGGGCGUAAAGCGCACGUAGGCGGAUUGUUUAGUUAGAGGUGAAAUCCCAGGGCUCAACCCUGGAACUGCCUUUAAUACUGGCAGUCUAGAGACCGAGAGAGGUGAGUGGAAUUCCGAGUGUAGAGGUGAAAUUCGUAGAUAUUCGGAGGAACACCAGUGGCGAAGGCGGCUCACUGGCUCGGUACUGACGCUGAGGUGCGAAAGCGUGGGGAGCAAACAGGAUUAGAAACCCCAGUAGUCC
rnacentral:rRNA from 1 species